GACCCGUAUCACAAUAUGAAUUAUGCUCUUAUUUUCCUACUUUCUCUCUUUUCUGUUUCCUCAAAACCCUAAACACAAUCUUCAUGGGACGCCACAAGAUUGAAGACGCCAUAAGAUCGAAUUGAGGACGCCCUAAGAUUGAAGACGCCACAAUCUUUUUCGCUAAUUUCUCUCUCUAUUCAUGUUGAACCCUAAUGGCUACACAUCCAAAUCUGAUCCAGCCCCUCCAUCUUAUGUAAAUCCAUCUUCUUUUAGUUUGAUCGGCUAUCAAAUGGUUUGAGAUUUCAAGAUACCUAUGGUAGUGAGGAUGAUGAAGUGGAUGCCAUGGCUAACUUUCUGGUGCUGUAACCGAUUUGGUGGGGUUUGGGCUGGGUGUUUUCAUAGCUGGGAAGUUGCACUCGAGGUGUUCGUUCAAACAAUGACGACGGCAAUUGCGAAAACUCUUCAACCUGGGAGCGGACGAUUCUUUGUCAUAUAAACAAUAUUAGGGUAUAAGGCUGGUAGGGAAAUGUCAGAAUUCAAAAGCAUCGAAGCAUUGUCAGAGCAUUGAACAAUGAAUCGACAUAAAUUAUCGAGAAGCAGAAUUCAUGCGAGCGGUGUCUCUUGUGUAACGGGUUUCGAAAAUCGUAUAACUCUUUUUGGAGGCCUGUAUCCACCUAUUCUUCAAUGAACUUCAUGAGCCAAACACUUUCCUUCCAAGCUAAUGGCCUUUGCCACCUCUUUCUAAUUUCAAGCCUCUAGGUUAGUUCUCAUUAAUCUUAUCUAAUCAUUGUGACGACUUAUUAGCAAGUGUCAUUCUCAUGCUGGUUGCCUAGAGCUAAAAGGUGCAUCAGCUGAACUUCUUGCUAAACUCAUACCAGAACAUGCUUGGAAGCAACAUUGUCAUGUAUUUCAUGGCGAGACUGGAAGUAUUGAUGAUGGUGGUCAUGUUAAAAGCUCUAGAGUUGCUGACCCAAAUAUUCUGACAAAAAUGUAGAGAUAUUGAUGUUUUUAUCUACUAAAGAUGGGAAGUUAUAUGUGUUUGAUUGUAAUAUUUGUAUGAUCAACUCUAAAGCAACGCAACUGAAGAAAAAUGCAACAUAUUUGUGCAUAUUUUAGGCGAGUAUAGCUACUCUAUUAUUUUGUAUUAUGCUAUAAACAGUAGAGUUAAAGAUUUUUAUAAA